rnacentral:rRNA from 1 species
AUUGAACGCUGGCGGCAGGCCUAACACAUGCAAGUCGAGCGGAUGAAGGGAGCUUGCUCCUGGAUUCAGCGGCGGACGGGUGAGUAAUGCCUAGGAAUCUGCCUGGUAGUGGGGGAUAACGUCCGUAAACGGGCGCUAAUACCGCAUACGUCCUGAGGGAGAAAGUGGGGGUUCUUCGGACCUCACGCUAUCAGAUGAGCCUAGGUCGGAUUAGCUAGUUGGUUGGGUAAAGGCCUACCAAGGCGACGAUCCGUAACUGGUCUGAGAGGAUGAUCAGUCACACUGGAACUGAGACACGGUCCAGACUCCUACGGGAGGCAGCAGUGGGGAAUAUUGGACAAUGGGCGAAAGCCUGAUCCAGCCAUGCCGCGUGUGUGAAGAAGGUCUUCGGAUUGUAAAGCACUUUAAGUUGGGAGGAAGGGCAGUAAGUUAAUACCUUGCUGUUUUGACGUUACCAACAGAAUAAGCACCGGCUAACUUCGUG